AUGCCGUGGUGUGGGCAUGCUGCGAUUGUAUUCCUGAAAUCUCUCCCAGGCUUCCGGGAUGUCUUCAUCUAGGAGUUGCUGAAAUUCGGAGAUCUUGCUCCUGAGGGC